CGUCGAAGGUGGGGCUGAUGACUGGGGUGAAGUCGUAACAAGGUAUCCGUACCGGAAGGUGCGGAUGGAUCACCUCCUAACAGGGAGACAAACAACGAUUUUGAUGCCUGAGUGUUUUUAUUCUUAGGCCGAAAUCCUGUCACCUUAGGUCGAUCGGUACCUCAGCAUUGAAGCAACAGGAUUAACAGAGAUGUUGAUGCAUGUUGUGCAGAUGAUCAGUUCCUAAACUUUGUCUAGGUCACACCCCACAAGGGUUGAGUUUUCCUGGGCCAUUAGCUCAGGUGGUUAGAGCGCACCCCUGAUAAGGGUGAGGUCCCUGGUUCAAGUCCAGGAUGGCCCAUUCGGUGUUGGGGGUUUAGCUCAGUUGGUAGAGCGCCUGCUUUGCAAGCAGGAUGUCAGGAGUUCGAGUCUCCUAACCUCCACUGACCGAACUCAAUCUCCGGUCUUGCAUUGAUAGAUGGAGAACCACUCGAUUGUGAAGUGUGAUUUAGAUGUGUCCGCUAGAUGACCCCAGCUUCCUGUCAUUCCAAUAAUUAUCGUGUUAUUUGGUUGAUAAGAUGCUGGGCUCGAAUCAAGUUAUUAAGCAAUUAAUGGUUUGAUUUGAAGUCUGGCAGAACCUUGACAACUGCAUAGGUGAGUCUGGAUAAAAUAAAGCAUCUUACAGAUGCAUUGUUUUGAAUUCUGUCUUCUGAAAGGUAGGCGGAAUCCAGGACAAUGAAAAUUCUUUUGAGCGAGAGCUGAGACUCUUGAGCGUUCUUUGAUUCGUGUCGAGCGAAUCAGAGUUUGAUUUUGUUUUAGGAUUCUACGAGAGUUGAUGAUUAAAACUUGAGAAUCUGCUUUCAACGGCAGUAAGCGUUCAGGAAGUUAAUUGGUCAAGCUACAAAGGGCUCACGGCG
rnacentral:misc_RNA from 1 species